UGGGGAAAGAGGUCCCUGAUGCCUUUGGCAGAGGUGAGCCCGAUGAGAUCUGGAGCAGUGCCUUCAAGCUGAAGGUCACCCAUGAGGACAUUGGCAGCCUGAGGGAGCGUCGCUGGCUGCACGAUGAGGUCAUCCAUUUCUACAUGAAGCUUAUUGCAGAAGUAAGAAGGAGAGAUUUGCAGCAGUCCAUGCCUUUAGUACUUUCUUCUACCCAAAAUUCAUCUCUGGGGGCUACACAGCAGUAAGAAAGUGGACCAAAGGUGUGGAUCUGUUCCAGCAGGAGCUCAUCUUUGUGCCCACUCACCUGAGGGUGCACUGGGCACUAGUGGUGAGUCACAUUGGCUUUAACUGGACAGAGAGGAAAAACUCACAGGAAAAGUAAUUCAGGUUUAGUCCUGUGUGCCAGCCAAGGCUGUGCCUUGUCUAACAGUGACCUUCUAGUAACAGGUGCCAGAUGUCAGAAGGAAGAGCAUCCAGUGCUGUGAUUCGAUGGGAAAGAGUGGGGCAGGAUCUGGCAGACUCUGCUCCAAUACCUGUGAGAAGAAGCCUCGAGAAAAGAAACCUGGAGCUGGCUUCUUCAGAGUGGACUCUUGGCAGCAUGGCAUCCAUGUAUGUGAGCAGUGCUUGGCUUUGAGCCCUGAGCUCUGCUGAUCACAAAGGUCUCAGCACUUUUCAGUAGGUCCAAGCUCUUAGGAGAACACCCAUGAGCAUCUCGUGUUCUUAGGGUGCCACCUCAGACUGGAGGUUGAGCUGAUGGUUCUCAGCCAGUUGAGAGUACAAAGCACUGCACCUAAAGGCUUGGUGGAGGAAGCAGCCAAGCUCCAGACACCUGCGAGGAGAAAGCUGCUGUCCCUUGUAGUGCUGCCCAGACUGUGACUUGUGACCUCCCAGUGGAGGAAGCAGAGGGCAGGGAUGAUGUGCAGUGCCUUGAGUCUAUUCCUUAUGUCCAGCAGUGGGAGAUGGAUGAUGCAAAGAGGUUCUUGGCUGUCUGGUGAGGAAUUGCUGACCUGGGGAAUGAGUGCAGCUGCUUGGGUUGGAACUUCCAAAUGGACUGAGCAGGA